rnacentral:rRNA from 1 species
ACCACCGGGAUGUUCAUAACCCUUGUGUUGUCCGACUCUGUUGCCUCCGGGGCGACCCUGCCUUCGGGCGGGGGCUCCGGGUGGACACUUCAAACUCUUGCGUAACUUUGCAGUCUGAGUAAACUUAAUUAAUAAAUUAAAACUUUUAACAACGGAUCUCUUGGUUCUGGCAUCGAUGAAGAACGCAGCGAAAUGCGAUAAGUAAUGUGAAUUGCAGAAUUCAGUGAAUCAUCGAAUCUUUGAACGCACAUUGCGCCCCCUGGUAUUCCGGGGGGCAUGCCUGUUCGAGCGUCAUUUCACCACUCAAGCCUCGCUUGGUAUUGGGCAACGCGGUCCGCCGCGUGCCUCAAAUCGACCGGCUGGGUCUUCUGUCCCCUAAGCGUUGUGGAAACUAUUCGCUAAAGGGUGCUCGGGAGGCUACGCCGUAAAACAAACCCAUUUCUAAGGUUGACCUCGGAUCAGGUAGGGAUACCCGCUGAACUUAAGC